UUAAAGAAGAACAUAUCUGAGAGUAACUGUUCAGGUAUUGACGGUAUUUAACCAGAAAGCCACGGCUAACUACGUGCCAGCAGCCGCGGUAAUACGUAGGUGGCAAGCGUUGUCCGGAUUUAUUGGGCGUAAAGCGAGCGCAGGCGGUUUUUUAAGUCUGAUGUGAAAGCCUUCGGCUCAACCGAAGAAGUGCAUCGGAAACUGGGAAACUUGAGUGCAGAAGAGGACAGUGGAACUCCAUGUGUAGCGGUGAAAUGCGUAGAUAUAUGGAAGAACACCAGUGGCGAAGGCGGCUGUCUGGUCUGUAACUGACGCUGAGGCUCGAAAGUAUGGGUAGCAAACAGGAUUAGAUACCCUGGUAGUCCAUACCGUAAACGAUGAAUGCUAAGUGUUGGAGGGUUUCCGCCCUUCAGUGCUGCAGCUAACGCAUUAAGCAUUCCGCCUGGGGAGUACGGCCGCAAGGCUGAAACUCAAAGGAAUUGACGGGGGCCCGCACAAGCGGUGGAGCAUGUGGUUUAAUUCGAAGCUACGCGAAGAACCUUACCAGGUCUUGACAUACUAUGCAAAUCUAAGAGAUUAGACGUUCCCUUCGGGGACAUGGAUACAGGUGGUGCAUGGUUGUCGUCAGCUCGUGUCGUGAGAUGUUGGGUUAAGUCCCGCAACGAGCGCAACCCUUAUUAUCAGUUGCCAGCAUUAAGUUGGGCACUCUGGUGAGACUGCCGGUGACAAACCGGAGGAAGGUGGGGAUGACGUCAAAUCAUCAUGCCCCUUAUGACCUGGGCUACACACGUGCUACAAUGGAUGGUACAACGAGUUGCGAACUCGCGAGAGUAAGCUAAUCUCUUAAAGCCAUUCUCAGUUUCGGAUUGUAGG
rnacentral:rRNA from 2 species